rnacentral:rRNA from 1 species
UGUUCAUAACCCCUUUGUUGUCNACUCUGUUGCCCCCGGGGCNNCCCUGCCUUCCGGCCGGGGCUCCCGGUGGGCCCCUCAAACUCCUGCGUAACUUUGNAGUCUUAGUAAACUUAAUUAAUAAAUUAAAACUUUUUACAACGGAUCCCCUGGGUCUUGCAUCGAUGAAGAACGCAGCGAAAUGCGAAAANNAAAGUGAAUUGCAGAAUUCAGUUAAUCAUCGAAUCUUUGAACGCACAUUGCGCCCCCUGGGAUUCCGGGGGGCAUUCCUGGUCCAGCGUCAUUUCCCCACUCCAGCCUCGCUUGGUAUUGGGGCACGCGGUCCGCCGCGUGCCCCAAAUCGUCCGGCUGGGUCUUCCGUCCCCCAAGCGGUGGGGAAACUAUUCGCUAAAGGGGUUCGGGAGGCUACGCCGAAAACAACCCCCUUUCUAGGGUGACCUCGGAUCCGGUAGGGAUUCCCGCUGAACUUAAGCAAUCAAUAGGCGGAGGAAAGUNNANCACCCCAAACUUCUGAAAUGUUGACCUCGGAUCAGGUAGGAAUACCCGCUGAACUUAAGCAUAUCAAUAAGCGGAGGAAGUNGGGGGGG